rnacentral:lncRNA from 1 species
AAGAAUCGAUUUAGUGGGUUUUAUUUCUACUUUUGAAAAUUCGAAAUAACUUUGCAAAAUAAAAAGACUUCAAUAAAUUUAAUACUUUAGAAAAUGACGUCAAUUUGAUGACAUCAUAAAACAAGUGAAGCAAGUAAAUAGCAACAAUGAAAAAAAAAAGAAAAAAAAAGGGGCAGUUUCCACGCGUAAUGAGGUUUGAAAAAGUCUUCGGUCAAAUCGCUUGACUCAUUCAUAAUAUUAUCGCUAAUAUUUGUUUUGUUUCCCUUCUAAUUAAAUAAUGUAUGUAUUUAGCUUAGGUUCAAAUCACUCAUUGGAAAAAAAAAAAAAAAUAAUAGUGGUUUUAAGUUUAUAUAUUACUCUUAAUAUUCGUGUUGUUGAAUGACAUCUGCAUUUUGGUUAUCCAACAAAGAAGUCACACACCCUCACCCAAUAACAACAAAC